GGCGCUUUCCGCGCCUCCCCGCUAGUGCCAGCCCCGAUCGUCGUCGACCCUCGAGCCUGAGGCAGCCAAGGGACCUGGGGGGAGGACCAUGGAGCUUGCCUCUGCGGGCGUGCAGCGCCGCGCCUGAGGCUGGGCCGCGCCUCCGGUAGCGCCAUGGAUAGCCGGUGCUAUGGAUGCGCGUCCAAGUUCUCUGUCUUCAAGAAAGAGUGUGGCUGCAAGAACUGCGGACGGUCGUUCUGCUCGGGCUGCCGGAGCUUCACUGCUGUUGUUCCCCGCUGUGGAAACACGCAGCAGAAGGUGUGCAAGCAGUGUCAUGAAAAACUAACUGGAGAGGGAUCUCAAAGCAGUUCAGCAAAAUGGUCACCACCAGAAAACUACAAAAAGCGUGUAGCAGCUUUUGAGGCUAAGCAAAACCAGCUGAAAGAGCAACAGAAAGCGGCUGCAAAACCCCCAGGUCGAGCAGGCUCCAGAUACCAGGGGCUCUCAAAAGAGGAUAGAGCUAUUGCAGAGAGACUGGAGAGGCUCAGGGAGGAAAGGAAACCGAAGUCCAUCCCUACUCAGGCUGAGAUUGAAGCUAGGCUGGCUGCCCUGAAGGAGGAUGGCCGGGGUCCUAUUCCAUCCACAGAGGAGAUGGAGGAUCGGUUGGCUGUCCUGCAGGGGAGAGAUCCUCCUUCCCAGGCUCGCAGACCUGUACACCAGCCUCCUGAUACCAGAAGUCUGGUCCAGCGGACAGAUGACCUGUUAACUCAACUAUCUGAGGAAGUUGCCAUUGAUGAGCAUUACAGACCAAGAGUUCAGCCUCAAGCUGUUAGUAGCCAAAGUUUGAAUGAUCUCAAUCGAGACAGUGAAGAUUGUGUUUGCCCUGCAAAUCUGGACCCAAAACAGCUAGAGGAAGAGAAGAACAAACUUCUGGCAGAAGCCGCUGCUGAGCUGCAGGAAGAGAAUACCAGGCAGGAGAAGAUCUUACAGGUUGCCAAGAGACUGGCAGCACUCAAAGGCGAGGACCCAGAGAAAGUUACACUGGAAAACUAUAAACUUCCUGACAGUGAUGAGGAAGUGGCUGAGGAGGAAGCCAUUCGCAGAGUGCUAAAACAGCUCACAGAGGAAGCAGCCCUGGAUGAAGCAAGUGGAUUCAACAUUCCUCCAGAUCAGACCACCCAACCAGGACCCUCACAACAGAACCUGUGUAAGAAAGCAAAGCAAAAGGGCCAGACUCCAACCACCACAGCUCUUGCCAGGGCAGAUAGUGAUGAGGAUGAGUUACCCUGGUGCUGUAUCUGCAACGAAGAUGCCACUUUGCGCUGCCAUGGCUGUGAUGGGGACCUCUACUGCCAGCGCUGUUUUCGGGAAGGCCAUGAUGAGUUUGACCUGAUGGACCACCACACCUCCCGCUAUCAUCUUCCUUGCAAGCAGAAGUGAUCCCAUUCUUCAUAAGCAGUAAAGAAGGUGGAGAAUGGGAAAACAGAGGAGCCGACCAGAUGGGAGGAAGAGUCCAAGUGGAUUUGCAGCCAAAACGGGUGAUGUUUUGGACAGUUAAAGGAUGUGCUGUAAUCUGAGAGAGGUUUGGAGGGCAUAUGACUUUGUCCUCACAAAUACUCCAGAGAAGUGCAUGGUUUGCUGUGUAUGCUUGGGAAUAAACGAGGAGGUGGAUACGAGUCCAUAAAUACAGACGCGGACAGAACAAAAGAAGUCUCGACGAGCUCCUGAGAAUUGUGUUCAGUGCUCCUUGGCCAGCAUGGAAAUUCCUAGAAGAAACUAAAGGAAGGACACCUUGUCCUGUUCCCCAGGCUAACAUGCUCUUUAAGAAUCAAGAUGUACACUCUAGCUGCCUGCUAUGUGUGUAGAUCUGGAAGCAGUGGAGACUUCAAACCACUGGUACAAAGUUCACAAACUUGGUGAUGUUUCUCAGUAAUAAGUCCUAAACAUAUUCAGAAGUGCUGUUGCUGAUCCUGGUUUUUGUAGAGAAGACACACGUUUCCUUGUGACCAAAGCUGGGUGUUCCAUGUGAGCAAGGUCAUUUCUUCUGAGGAUUGGUGACUCUCCGGAGACCUUUCAAUCGACUAAGCAAUUCCGUAAUGAAGUCCUACAGUAAGAAUUGGUUAAAGAAGGAUGUCAUAUUAAUUCCAGUGCUCACCAGCCCAAAAAGUACUAGGGCACUUGCAUCAUUCCCACAUUUGCCUUUAUGUUGAGCAGAAACCAGAAUUUUGACAUACUUUGAGCAAACCUAUCUUUUAGCUUAGGAAAGGAGACCUUUUGAUGGAUCAAAAGGAUCUUAAAAGCUCCUCUACUUCCCUUCCCCUGUUUCCCUCUGGAACAGCCAUGUUUAUUUUCUCCCUAGGAGCUAGCCUGCCCCUCUUCAUCCCAGAUACCUGCUUUUUCUACCUUGAGAUGACCUCGGGAUGCUGUUGUCCUCUGUUAGGUUCCACUGCUUCCUGUUGCCACCAUAACCUCCUGCCCACUUCUUCUGCCUUUCCAAUCUAGGGCAAAGCAAGCUGUCCCUCUUGUUGAACCUGUAAAGCUCCAUGUUGUGGAUUGCAAACCAUCUUGGAGCUGUGCCAGCUCUACAAGGAAGUGGCUGGCAGAGAAGAGGUGGAGCAAAACACAUGUAGGACUAAUGAUAACGUUGAGCAGGGGUUGAGGGGAGGCAGAGCAGAUAGAUGAGCAGUUAAUGGAGAUAAACCCUGAAUACUUUGCUGACACAGCCAAGGACUAUGAACUGAACUGGACCAACUGGUUAUUCCAAGCAGAGGGCAAUGUGCAAACUUUACUCUCUGCAUGACAAGUAACAUCACCAUAAAGAAGUGUGCAGCCUUUCUUCACCCAAAGACAUAGCUACAUGUCCUUGUAAUUAGGCAAGGUCACUGGAACUAUUGCAGCUUAUUAGCAUUUGUGCUGUGUGGAAGCCCAGCUUCCUCACUUCAGUAUCAGACGUUGCCACAACUUGCUCUGGAAGUAAAUGCCUAGGAUCAUUCAUUCCUUUUCAGUUAGUCCUUUCAGAGGAAACCACUUUGUUUCUUGUCUGCCUUCUGGAAUUAGGUUGCUGAGAUCUUUCAAGAGGAUUCAAGAUCACCAGGGUAAAAGUACAUAGGUUUGCCAAUGGGGUAGCAGUAUCUGUAUUCAGCAGGUACCCUGCUGCCCACAAGACACCUUCGUGGCUUAUGAGUCAGUAGAGCAAACUCUUUUCAAUUAUCACUCAGGGAAUGUGGGAUUCUUGCCUCAGAUCUGAAAUUCACACACUCUGAAAACUAUUUCUGUAUUGCCAGCUUUGUUGACCCCCUGCUAGGAGACUAUCUGUAAUGAUUGCUACAGCCCAGUUUAAUUUCAGUGAUAGUCAUGCAUUCAUCUCAUUUUCUGUAUAUUCAUCACUGUACAGCUACAUAGGCUCGACAGGAUGUGGAGCCUGAGGAACGAUGUCUGAGCACAAUGUUCACAUGCAAUGCAUGUGGCUGAAGCAGUGAUGGGGACCCCAUUUUGCACAGGUAUUCAAUGCAGCAAAGGCAGUUCCUCUGUGAUGCAUGCACUACACUGCAUGCAUCACUACACAGGCUCCACUCCUCUGGACGUUGUGGCUGCUUGUGGGACUUUUUAACUCUCUAACUCAAGAUCAAUACUUGUAAAGUUCACAUGGGGAAAAGAAACCCACAUGUAUAACUAACUUACAUGGCAGUUAUCUGCCCAAUCCAACAUGAAGACCAUCUUACAUUCUUGUCAUUCAUAACCAUAGAGUGGUUAAAGCUAAGAAUGCAUUUAGUUGGCAGUGUGCAAUAUUGUUACGUGAACUGUAUUGCUAUCUAUGGCUUUUCUACACUGAGGACCAAAUAGCAACUCAGCAUAGUCAUUCCAAAAUUCCAAAACAUGGAAUGAAUGAACUUUCUUUGGUUGUAAAGCAUAAUUCCUUAUUUCCUCCAGAGCUCUGCCUUCAGCUCACCCACGUAGAUUUACAUGUAAUUUUGUAACACAGCAGAAUAAAGUGGCAAACACCUCCCAUUAGGAUUAAAUGAAUCUACGGUACAGUAAUAUCUUGACUAUUCAGCCAAGCAGCAACAGACACAUUGUAGCAGCACAGUAUAAUAUAUAACUAACAUACAUACAUGUAUAUGGUGCUUCACUCACCUCUGUAGGGCUGGAGCACUCAUGGAGGAUUUCCUAAAAAAACAAGGAGUCAUCAUUUUAGUAUUUAUGAGUUGAUCUAAUCAUCUCCUCUCUACAAAAAAUGUAUAUAAUCUUACUACCUCUGACAAGUGAAAACACAGGGAAGCAUCAUACAACACUGGAAACACAUAUUCUCUACCCCCCACACCACUACUCUAAGAAGUCCCUAAUCUAAAGUCACCAAGUCUCUCUAUCUGACCUGUAGUUUUAAUUUCUGUUCUUCAUUAGGGACCUCCAGGAGAUCUUCAAGAUCAAUUUGUGGUUCAGGAGCUGCUGUCUCUGUUUCUUCCCUUAGCUAAAAAGAAAAAAACCCACCACAGUUAAUAAACCUUCCAACAUCUGAGAACUCUAGAGUCCAUCUUUAAAGAACUGAGCAGCUGAGUUACAAUAAAACUGUGCUGCAAAAUUGAAGUCAUGAUAUAAAUCAUCUCAAAAUAAGGAUGUUCUUAUAAAGAGGGCACAGAUUCCAGCCCUUUUGUGUAGUCUGCUAGAAUCACACCUCCUGAUGUACACAUUCUUCAUCUUUUCCCACCACUGCACUGCUCAGGGAUCAUAAUCCAUCAUGGAAAGACCCUUUCAAGAGUAUCCAACUGCAGUGCAAUUUAAGACAGCCUGUGACACCCCUCAUCUAUGAAGAGUUCACCAAACAAAUCCAGCAGGCUUAGUGUUUGAGAGGCACAAAUAAUACAGGAAGAUUUUAGGCUUUUAUGCUAAUUACAUUCACAUACUUUGUAUUUAUACUAAGGCUUUUUGCAGCAAUGGAGAGAAAAACAAUUAUGCUGUUGAAAGACCUAACAGUAUUUUGCCAGCUUUCUCUAACAGACAUGAGUGGGACAUAAUAGUCUUCUUUAAUGUAAGAGGGACCCCAAGUUUUGGUGACUGGAGUAAUAAUCUUAUACUACAUCGGGGUGUUAGUUGGAAACAUUUGUAAAACUUGAUCGCGGACACAUUAAAGCUUCAAAAGUCUCUACAAGUCUUUAAGGAAAGCAGGUUGUGGUUUUCCAGUGUAUUUGCAAAAUGAAUCUUUCACAGCACAACACUAGUGCUAUUUUGACAUAAUAAUCAGCAGAGUAAGGAUACUGGGUAAACAGCACAGUACGUGAUUACGAACUAGCAUUUACAGAUAUAUGUGUAAAACAUUAAACAUAAAGGCAAUACUUACAGGAAAAAAAGAAACUUUUUCUUAGCAGUGUCUGAUAUUUCUCUGUAUGCCAGAGAGGAAGUAGAAAGCCUUUGUUUAACUGUGAUAUGCAGCUAACUUAACAAUAAAUAAUAAACCAGAGUUAAAUAUA